CAUAUCUCAAAAAUCCAAAUUUCAAAUGCAACAAAAUUUUUAUAUAAAUUUUAGUAAUAUGAUAGUAUACAUUCUUAAAAAUUUUGAGCCAAAAACUUGUCAAAUUGCUAAAGAUAUAGCUCAAAAUACAACCACUAGUAAAUCAAGUCACUUAUUACUUUUAGAUUGCAAGUGCUGACUUCAACUUCCUUUAUUUCUUUCAUCCCACCUUAAAAUUUAUCAAACAAUAUGUAAAAAAUUUAGUUUAAAAAGUGCUCUCUUUAAUCCCAAUUUUCGAUCCACCAUUGCUUUCUAUACGCAUACAUUAUGUCCAAAAGUCUGACAAUAGGUACAAAACCAACAUCUUAACUUUGAGUUCCUAUAUUUCUUUUAUAAAAAUUCCAAAUGACUCAAAAUUUGCCCCAAAACCAUAACUAAAAAUCUAAACUUCUUGAUCAUAGCCUC
rnacentral:lncRNA from 1 species